AUUGAACGCUGGCGGCAGGCCUAACACAUGCAAGUCGAACGAGUGGCGGACGGGUGAGUAAUGUCUGGGAAACUGCCUGAUGGAGGGGGUUAACUACUGAAAACGGUAGCUAAUCCCGCAAACCAUCAGAUGUGCCCCGAUGGGAUUAGCUAGUGGGUGGGGUAACGGCUCACCAGGGCGACGAUCCCUAGCUGGUCUGAGAGGAUGACCAUCCACACUGGAACUGAGACACGUUCCAGACUCCUACGGGAGGCAGCAGUGGGGAAUAUUGCACAAUGGGCGCAAGCCUGAUGCAGCCAUGGCGCGUGUAUGAAGAAGGCCUGAGGGUUGUAAAGUACUUUCAGCGGGGAGGCGUUACCCGCAGAAGAAGCACCGGCUAACUCCGUGCCAGCAGCCGCGGUAAUAC
rnacentral:rRNA from 1 species